rnacentral:rRNA from 1 species
UACGUAGGCAGCGAGCGUUGUUCGGAAUUACUGGGCGUAAAGAGUGUGUAGGCGGUUUGUCGCGUCUGCUGUGAAAUUCCAGGGCUUAACCCUGGGCUUGCAGUGGGUACGGGCAGACUAGAGUGUGGUAGGGGAGACUGGAAUUCCUGGUGUAGCGGUGAAAUGCGCAGAUAUCAGGAGGAACACCGAUGGCGAAGGCAGGUCUCUGGGCCACUACUGACGCUGAGAAGCGAAAGCAUGGGGAGCGAACGGG